rnacentral:rRNA from 1 species
AUGAACGCUGGCGGCGUGCCUCAUACCUGCAAGUCGAGCGAACAGACGAGGAGCUUGCUCCUCUGACGUUAGCGGCGGACGGGUGAGUAACACGUGGAAAACCUACCUAUAAGACUGGGAUAACUUCGGGAAACCGGAGCUAAUACCGGAUAAUAUAUUGAACCGCAUGGUUCAAUAGUGAAAGACGGUUUUGCUGUCACUUAUAGAUGGAUCCGCGCCGCAUUAGCUAGUUGGUAAGGUAACGGCUUACCAAGGCAACGAUGCGUAGCCGACCUGAGAGGGUGAUCGGCCACACUGGAACUGAGACACGGUCCAGACUCCUACGGGAGGCAGCAGUAGGGAAUCUUCCGCAAUGGGCGAAAGCCUGACGGAGCAACGCCGCGUGAGUGAUGAAGGUCUUCGGAUCGUAAAACUCUGUUAUUAGGGAAGAACAAAUGUGUAAGUAACUAUGCACGUCUUGACGGUACCUAAUCAGAAAGCCACGGCUAACUACGUG